GACAUAUCAAAGUAUCAAACAUACAUAAUCUAGACACACGUAGAAACUUUUUACAUAAACACAAAACUAAACUCGAUACUAAACGGUACCCUCGAUCUGAGAUACGUUUAUUAGACUCAGUCCAUAUGCAACAACUACAAAACGAUAUAUAAGACACAAAUGACAGGAGCUCGUGUUGUCCCCAACAACAACUAAAUUUGACCACAGUAGGCUCAGACACAAAUCGAGCUCGUAUCAUCCCCAACAACAACACCAUCCACCACAUCAACCACUCGAGCAUAACAACCUAAACCAUCGUUAAAAUUGUAAUUCUGUUGAUUUUCUGCGGAACCCGACAACACAGAACUACCCUUCACCACCAUCAAACCAGUACAGUUCUGUUUGUGGCUCAAAACCAUAGACUCUUUACCACCAUAAAACCGCUCACUCCGUUCUUGCUCCACUUUUGUGGUCAUCACAGAGGUAUCAACGGCUAAUCCGGGCUUCGUUUCAAUGGAGACCUUUAAAGGAUACUUGAUUUUCACUUCUAAACUUUCAAUCACCUGACCAAUUUCAUUUGUGAUCUUGAUUUUAGUUUUCCUUUUAUAUUUCUGAUCAACUUCUUUCUUGGUACCUUGAUCUUUAAACUUGAGUUUGUUCUUAAACUUGAUCUUUUCUGUUAAUUGGGUUUGGAGAUUGCCUGCGCUUGAAUACACCCAUCCAGUAACUUCACUCUCUCUUUCUCCCUUUAUCUCAAAUUCUCCAUCAAGAAGUUCAAAUUCAGUUUUACGCUGAAUUUCCAUCGACGGGACCUUGGAUGUUACAGUCUGUGCUCUAACAUCCGAACGAUCAAACCAAAGAUGCAGAUUUGCAUCCACAAGCCAAAAUGAAAUACCAUCAGCAACUUUAAUCCCAAUUGUAUGAUCCUUGUUAUCUAAAAGAAGCCCUAAAAACGGAGUCAAAUCUAUAUCAUAAGACGGAAGAUUAAAAGCUCCGAUCGACACAACCGGCUCCAAAAACAGUGGAUUAAUUCCACCCGUAAAUAUUACCGGAAACGGAACCACAGCCCCGACUAAUUUCCCGUCUAUCGUCACCAAAACUUCACGGUACGCUCCGUGAGCUCGUCCGGUCGACAAAUGGUUGGUUUCUACAUAUGAAUCUGAAGGAUUUAUGUACCAGAAUUCAUCAUUUCCAUGAAAAGAUACAUACAAUUCAAGCACAGCUUUGUAAGUUCUAUUAGAUAUUUUAACCUUUUGAGUCUUCAAAUCAAAUUCAUCUUCAAUUCUAAACCAAAACCCCUCAUUAACACCAUCAGAAGCAGAUAUCGGAACCACUAAAUCUGCAGGCUUAUUAUACGGAUAUAACGAAUUUAACACUAUAUCACGAUCAAAUUGAUCUAAUUUAUCUCCAAUUUCAUUAUUUUCAACAGAAAUUAGCUUUCGAUUCAACGAGUGAGCUUCUGAUUCAAGCGGAACAAUAGAUAACGGAACCCUAACGGAAGUGGCAGAGUAAAACAACAAAGAGAUAUUAACGUGAUAAACGCCGGUAAACUCUUCGUUAACUAGGUUUUCAAGCAUAACAGUGAGUGUGACAUUUGACUGAGAAAUAACCGAAGAAUACCUACUGACAUCCUUCCGAACCUUCCAGAAGAUUCCAGAUUCAGUCGGCUGAGCCGUACUCGUCCGCAACAGCUCUACGCCGUCGAUCCAUACGCCAGCGAUACGAUCGUACUGCUCGCCUUUGCAUUGGGCUCGGAAUUCGAGGACGGCGGUGGUCCAGUUACACGUGGCCGGUGGUGGUGUGUAGUUGACGGUGACGGGGGGAAUGCCGUAGGUGUUUGCGAAGGAGUGGUUGAGUAGGCUGACGGAGCAUGACGGAGUGACGUCGUCGGUGGGGAGAGGGUGGGAAGGAGGAGGAGGAUGAGAUGGGGGAUUUUCAUUGAAGUAUUUCCAGUUACUUCUCUUUCCUUGUUGAGAGGUGAGGUUUGCAGAUCGUUGAGUCUGUAUAAUUGA
rnacentral:lncRNA from 1 species